rnacentral:rRNA from 1 species
UCGGAAGGCAGCAGUGGGGAAUAUUGCACAAUGGGCGCAAGCCUGAUGCAGCCAUGCCGCGUGUAUGAAGAAGGCCUUCGGGUUGUAAAGUACUUUCAGUCGUGAGGAGGGUGUUAAGGUUAAUAACCUUAGCAAUUGACGUUAGCGACAGAAGAAGCACCGGCUAACUCCGUGCCAGCAGCCGCGGUAAUACGGAGGGUGCGAGCGUUAAUCGGAAUUACUGGGCGUAAAGGGCACGCAGGCGGUUAAUUAAGUUGGAUGUGAAAUCCCCGGGCUUAACCUGGGAAUGGCAUUCAAGACUGGUUAGCUAGAGUCUUGUAGAGGGGGUAGAAUUCCAUGUGUAGCGGUGAAAUGCGUAGAGAUGUGGAGGAAUACCGGUGGCGAAGGCGGCCCCUGGACAAAGACUGACGCUCAUGUGCGAAAGCGUGGGGAGCAAACGAGGAUUAGAUACC